rnacentral:rRNA from 1 species
GGGUUGUGAGGUUAAGCGACUAAGCGUACACGGUGGAUGCCCUGGCAGUCAGAGGCGAUGAAGGACGUGCUAAUCUGCGAUAAGCGCCGGUAAGGUGAUAUGAACCGUUAUAACCGGCGAUUUCCGAAUGGGGAAACCCAGUGUGAUUCGUCACACUAUCAUUAACUGAAUCCAUAGGUUAAUGAGGCGAACCGGGGGAACUGAAACAUCUAAGUACCCCGAGGAAAAGAAAUCAACCGAGAUUCCCCCAGUAGCGGCGAGCGAACGGGGAGGAGCCCAGAGCCUGAAUCAGCAUGUGUGUUAGUGGAAGCGUCUGGAAAGGCGCGCGAUACAGGGUGACAGCCCCGUACACAAAAGCGCAUGUGCUGUGAGCUCGAUGAGUAGGGCGGGACACGUGGUAUCCUGUCUGAAUAUGGGGGGACCAUCCUCCAAGGCUAAAUACUCCUGACUGACCGAUAGUGAACCAGUACCGUGAGGGAAAGGCGAAAAGAACCCCGGCGAGGGGAGUGAAAAAGAACCUGAAACCGUGUACGUACAAGCAGUGGGAGCACAGGUUUACCUGUGUGACUGCGUACCUUUUGUAUAAUGGGUCAGCGACUUAUAUUCUGUAGCAAGGUUAACCGUAUAGGGGAGCCGGAGGGAAACCGAGUCUUAAUUGGGCGUUAAGUUGCAGGGUAUAGACCCGAAACCCGGUGAUCUAGCCAUGGGCAGGUUGAAGGUUGGGUAACACUAACUGGAGGACCGAACCGACUAAUGUUGAAAAAUUAGCGGAUGACCUGUGGCUGGGGGUGAAAGGCCAAUCAAACCGGGAGAUAGCUGGUUCUCCCCGAAAGCUAUUUAGGUAGCGCCUCGUGAAUUCAUCUCCGGGGGUAGAGCACUGUUUCGGCUAGGGGGCCAUCCCGGCUUACCAACCCGAUGCAAACUGCGAAUACCGGAGAAUGUUAUCACGGGAGACACACGGCGGGUGCUAACGUCCGUCGUGAAGAGGGAAACAACCCAGACCGCCAGCUAAGGUCCCAAAGUCAUGGUUAAGUGGGAAACGAUGUGGGAAGGCCCAGACAGCCAGGAUGUUGGCUUAGAAGCAGCCAUCAUUUAAAGAAAGCGUAAUAGCUCACUGGUCGAGUCGGCCUGCGCGGAAGAUGUAACGGGGCUAAACCAUGCACCGAAGCUGCGGCAGCGAACGUAUCACCCAAGACAACUUUACGGAGUUGACGAUUGACGGAGCGAAGCGACGUCAAAGCGUUCAUUAAAGUCGAGUUGGCUUAGGGAUACGUUCGUUGGGUAGGGGAGCGUUCUGUAAGCCUGUGAAGGUGUGUCGUGAGGCAUGCUGGAGGUAUCAGAAGUGCGAAUGCUGACAUAAGUAACGAUAAAGCGGGUGAAAAGCCCGCUCGCCGGAAGACCAAGGGUUCCUGUCCAACGUUAAUCGGGGCAGGGUGAGUCGACCCCUAAGGCGAGGCCGAAAGGCGUAGUCGAUGGGAAACGGGUUAAUAUUCCCGUACUUGGUGUUACUGCGAAGGGGGGACGGAGAAGGCUAUGUUGGCCGGGCGACGGUUGUCCCGGUUUAAGCGUGUAGGUGUGUGUUCCAGGUAAAUCCGGUUCACUUUAACACUGAGGCGUGACGACGAGGCACUACGGUGCUGAAGCAACAAAUGCCCUGCUUCCAGGAAAA